AUGUGAAAUCCCCGGGCUUACCUGGGAAUGGCAUUUGGGACUGCAAGGCUGGAGUUUGGCAGAGGAGACUGGAAUUCCUGGUGUAGCAGUGAAAUGCGUAGAUAUCAGGAGGAACACCGAUGGCGAAGGCAGGUCUCUGGGCUGAAACUGACGCUCAUGCACGAAAGCGUGGGGAGCAAACAGGAUUAGAUACCCUGGUAGUCCACGCCCUAAACGAUGUCGACUGGUUGUUGGGGGUUUGACACUCUCAGUAACGAAGCUAACGCGUGAAGUCGACCGCCUGGGGAGUACGGCCGCAACGUUAAAACUCAAAGGAAUUGACGGGGACCCGCACAAGCGGUGGAUUAUGUGGAUUAAUUCGAUGCAACGCGAACAAGCUUACCUACCCUUGACAUGUCCGAGAGCCCGUAGAGAUAUGGGUGUGCCCGAAAGGGAAUCGGUACACAGGUGCUGCAUGGCUGUCGUCAGCUCGUGUCUCUGAGAUGUUGGGUUAAGUCCCGCAACGAGCGCAACCCUUGUCAUUAGUUGCUACAUUUAUUUGGGCACUCUAAUGAGACUGCCGUUGACAAACCGGAGGAAGGUGGGGAUGACGUCAAGUCCUCAUGGCCCUUAUGGGUAGGGCUUCACACGUAAUACAAUGGCGCGUACAGAGGGUUGCCAAGGAGCGAUCUGGAGCCAAUCCCGUAAAGCGCGUCGUAGUCCGGUUUGCAGUCUGCAACUCGACUGCAUGAAGUCGGAAUCGCUAGUAAUCGCGGAUCAGCAUGUCGCGGUGAAUACGUUCCCGGGUCUUGUACACACCGCCCGUCACACCAUGGGAGUGGGUUUCACCAGAAGCCGGUCGCCUA
rnacentral:rRNA from 1 species